rnacentral:rRNA from 1 species
GACAGAGGGUGCAAACGUUGUUCGGAAUUACUGGGCGUAAAGCGUGUGUAGGCGGUCUUGUAAGUCGGGUGUGAAAGCCCUGGGCUCAACCCAGGAAGUGCACUCGAAACUGCGAGGCUAGAGUACUGGAGAGGUUGGUGGAAUUCUCGGUGUAGAGGUGAAAUUCGUAGAUAUCGAGAGGAACACCGGUGGCGAGGCGGCCAACUGGACAGAUACUGACGCUGAGACACGAAAGCGUGGGGAGCAAACAGG